rnacentral:rRNA from 1 species
UGCCUGCCCAGUGACUUAGUUAAACGGCCGCGGUAUCUUGACCGUGCAAAGGUAGCAUAAUCAUUUGCCUCUUAAAUAGAGGCUGGUAUGAAUGGCAAGACUGGGGUUAAGCUGUCUCUUUCUUAUAACUUGAAUUUUAUAUUUUCGUGAAGAAGCGGAAAUAAACUCGUAGGACGAGAAGACCCUGUCGAGCUUUAGUAAAAAUAUUAGUGGUAAUAAAGAAUAAUAAAUCUAAUGUUAAACUUAUAAAAAUUUUAUAAAAUCUAAUUUUUUAUUCUUAGCCCUUUAAUAUACUAACUUUGAUUGGGGCAAUCGCGGAGUAUAAAAAGCCUCCGCUAAAAACAUAAAAAAAUAACCAUUUUAAAAUAAAGUGAUCCGCUAGAUAGCGAGCAAAGGAAUAAGUUACCGCAGGGAUAACAGCGUAAUUUUUUUGGAGAGUUCAUAUUGAUAAAAAAGUUUGCGACCUCGAUGUUGGAUCGAGAUUUCCUAGAGAUGCAGCAGUCUCU